GGACGGGUGAGUAACGCGUGAGAAUCUGCCCUCACGACGGGGACAACAGCUGUAAACGGCUGCUAAUGCCCGAUGUGCCGAGAGGUGAAACAUUUAUGGCCUGAGGAUGAGCUCGCGUCUGAUUAGCUAGUUGGUGGGGUAAAAGCCUACCAAGGCGACGAUCAGUAGCUGGUCUGAGAGGAUGAUCAGCCACACUGGGACUGAGACACGGCCCAGACUCGUACGGGAGGCAGCAGUGGGGAAUUUUCCGCAAUGGGCGCAAGCCUGACGGAGCAAGACCGCGUGCGGGAGGACGGCCUAUUGGUUGUAAACCGCUUUUGAUAGGGAAGAAGUUCUGACGGUACCUAUCGAAUCAGCAUCGGCUAACUCCGUGCCAAGCAGCCGCAGGUAAUACGGAGGAUGCAAGCGUUAUCCGGAAUUAUUGGGCGUAAAGCGUCCUGUAGGUGGUUGUUCAAGUCUGCUGUUAAAGCGUGCGGCUUAACCGCAUACCAGCAGUGGAAACUGGGCAACUAGAGUGCGGUAGGGGUCAGGGGAAUUCCCAGUGUAGCGCGUGAAAUGCGUAGAUAUUGGGAAGAACACCGGUGGCGAAAGCGCCUGACUGGACCUGCACUGACACUGAGGGACGAAAGCUAGGGGAGC
rnacentral:rRNA from 1 species